GCGUUGGUGAUGUAACGGCUAGCAUUCCUUCCUUAUGAGUUGGUUAUCCGGGUUCGACUCCCGGCCAACACA